UUUUUGUUUCACUUUUUCCAGAAACACAGAGAUCACUUGCUGCUCUGUGCAUCAAUGUUAUUUUCAGGGAAAAACCAUAUUGAUCGUAACUGUACAAUGAUACUCGCUGGAACGAUGCUGAAUUAUGAUUGGAGGAACAUGUCUUACUAAGAAAUCUAUGAGACACUGACCGAAAAGCUUAAAAAGCGACAGGAGACGCCGAGCCCAAAAAACACCAUAAGUGAACUUGUCACUGAAGAUGGCUGCAAGGUCUACCUGGUUGGCACAAUUCACUUCAGUAAAGAAAGCAUACAAGAUGUCCACCAGAUAAUCCAGGAUGUACAACCAGAUGCUGUGGUGUUAGAACUUUGCCAAAGUCGAGAAUUGCUUUUAACAUUAGAUGAACAGUCAUUACUAAAUGAAGCCAAGGUGUUUGACUUAUGCAAAAUGCGACAGUCAAUAAAGCAGUUUGGAGUGAUGCAAACAUUGUAGUUAAUGCUGUUUCUGAAAAUAUCAGCUUACCUGAUUGAGCAGCUGGGCAUUACUCCAGGUGGGGAAUUCAGGAAAGCUUUCAGAGAGGCUCAGAAAAUACCAUUUUGUAAUAUCUACCUCGGAGACCAGCCAAUCUUCAUCACUUUGAAAAGAUGUGCUGCUGCACUUUCCUUCUGGGACCUGGUGAAGGCAUUUGUGGGCUUUGUUUACAUCAAAUCCCAGCCGCUUCCAUAUGGCUGAUGGCGUUCACUGCUUGCUGGUGUUAGUUUGAUAGUACUGGUGACCUUCCAAUGCUUCUGAAAUUCAUGUGCGAACUUUGCCUCAAAAUGAUUGUGAAGCAGCUAAAAAAGAAGGAUGGGCUGGAGAAAAUCAAAGUUGUGAUGGAGGAAGUUCCUGAGUUUUAUCGUGUUUUUGUAUCAGAACGGGAUGCCUAUCUAACUCAGUCACUGAAGCAAGCAGCAAAACCUAUAGUGCUACCUAAAAUUUUACAGUCUGAUCCUCAGGAAGUUAUCCCGUCAGUUGUGGUCAGAGUGGUUGGAAUUGGCCAUGUGGCUGGAAUAAAAAAGAACUGGAACAAGCAAUUAAAUACCCAAGAAUUGAUUAGAUUGCCAAAUCCUUCUCUAUCGUCAAGAAUUUUCCAGAUUGCUUUUACUGUUACCUUUCAUGGCCUGAAGAUCUUUUUCUAUUACAAAAUUGCACAAACAUUGAUUUGGUUAUUUUAUUAAACAUGGAUGAUUGAUUCAUUUCAACAAAGAUCACUUCAAAUGUCUAACCUUAUGCAUCAUGAGACUGAUACAGUCUUUUUUAUGCUCCAACCCUCUGGAUGGAAGCUAGUUACUGAUUUACCACUCUAGUUUAUAAUGCUAAAGUGGAAUAUGACUUUACUCUGGUCAGAAUAUAAUUUGCCACUAAUGGUUGGAAACUGAAAUUGCGUGGAAAUGUGAAUUUCAUUCCCUCCCCACAAGAGGGGUCAUAGGGAUUGGGCUUUUCUAUUAUAAUCAUGAUAAUGGUAAGUUCCACAAGUAACAUACCAAUCGUAUAGUAGGUCAUGGGCAGGGGAAAAUUAGCGAAAGACCAAUAUUGCACUCUGUCAUGACUAAAACUAUGAACAUUGCAGUACUUUCUUUUCUACUGAGUAAAAUGUUUUAUAAAUGCAUGUUAGCAAUGAGGAUUCUGAGCUUCUGACUGCAUGCCAGGAAAUUGUGGGCAUGCUGAAUGCCAUGAUAUAUUCAUUAACAUGUUGGGAAACUGUUACUGCAUCGUAAGAUUGAAAUUACAUUCUUUUGCAUUGAAGAAGAGAUGUUUUUACUUUCUCAAAUAUGCAAUGUAAGACAGUGAUUAUCUGUAACUGUCAUUCCUAGAUGAUUAUGGGUUUGCAAUAUUUUUUCUUCUUACUCUGCUUUAUGGUGUAAUGUACCAUUUUUUGAUUGUACAUAAAAUGUUACCAAUCCGGAA